UACGGAGGAUCCAAGCGUUAUCCGGAUUUAUUGGGUUUAAAGGGUGCGUAGGCGGAAUAGUAAGUCAGUGGUGAAAGCCUGUUGCUUAACAACAGAACUGCCAUUGAUACUGCUAAUCUUGAGUACAUUUGAUGUGGGCGGAAUGUGUCAUGUAGCGGUGAAAUGCAUAGAUAUGACACAGAACACCGAUUGCGAAGGCAGCUCACAAAACUGUAAACUGACGCUGAGGCACGAAAAGCGUGGGGAUCGAACAGG
rnacentral:rRNA from 1 species